rnacentral:rRNA from 1 species
GUCUACGGCCACACCACCCUGAACACGCCCGAUCUCGUCUGAUCUCGGAAGCUAAGCAGGGUCGGGCCUGGUUAGUACUUGGAUGGGAGACCUGUGCAUUGCAUGGAGAUCUUCCUCA